AAUGUUAUUCCGCUUAAUCUUAAUGGAACGGGGGAACCAAUUCUGUGGUCCUGUACCGCUUGGGGUGAAUUCUUAUGAAGGGGCAUGUGUUUCCAAGUCCUAACCCGACAGCUAACCUCGUCAGCGUCUUAGAGGGAACAA
rnacentral:sRNA from 2 species